rnacentral:lncRNA from 1 species
CCCGAAACGUGGAAAAAAAACACAUCUUUCUCCAAACGGGGGCGUCGCCCGCCGAAUGCAGGACGUGAUGUUGGCAAAAUGAGGUACACAUGCUGGAAAUCAGCGCCACCUGGGGGUCCUCGACGCUAUAAUCAGAGAACGAAAUUGAGGUCGGCUGGCCCUGAGGCAAGCUACAAGCAAGCUCCAGUGAGCACUUUCCUUCCACAUUUGGCAGGCAGUUCUUAGCCUUAUUAUCUAAGGACCCCGCUGUUGGGCACGAUCAUCAGGAGGGCGUGGCUGACAUGGGAAACUGAAGCAAGCGCCCACCCCAUCAGCCCCUGUGCAGCGCCGAACUGCCCGCCCGGUAUGUCAGUUAUUGCUUUCCCCGCCGACCCUUC